UUCCAGACUCCUACGGGAGGCAGCAGUGGGGAAUAUUGCACAAUGGGGGAAACCCUGAUGCAGCAACGCCGCGUGAGUGAGGAAGUAUUUCGGUAUGUAAAGCUCUAUCAGCAGGGAAUAGAAAAGAAGGUACCUGAAAAAGAAGCCCCGGCUAACUACGUGCCAGCAGCCGCGGUAAUACGUAGGGGGCAAGCGUUAUCCGGAUUUACUGGGUGUAAAGGGAGCGUAGACGGCGGCGCAAGUCUGAUGUGAAAACCCGGGGCUCAACCCCGGGACUGCAUUGGAAACUGUCAGGCUAGAGUGUCGGAGAGGCAAGUGGAAUUCCUAGUGUAGCGGUGAAAUGCGUAGAUAUUAGGAGGAACACCAGUGGCGAAGGCGGCUUGCUGGACGAUGACUGACGUUGAGGCUCGAAAGCGUGGGGAGCAAACAGGAUUAGAUACCCGUGUA
rnacentral:rRNA from 1 species